rnacentral:rRNA from 1 species
AUUGAACGCUGGCGGCAGGCCUAACACAUGCAAGUCGAGCGGAUGAAGGGAGCUUGCUCCUGGAUUCAGCGGCGGACGGGUGAGUAAUGCCUAGGAAUCUGCCUGGUAGUGGGGGAUAACGUCCGGAAACGGGCGCUAAUACCGCAUACGUCCUGAGGGAGAAGGUGGGGGAUCUUCGGACCUCACGCUAUCAGAUGAGCCUAGGUCGGAUUAGCUAGUUGGUGGGGUAAAGGCCUACCAAGGCGACGAUCCGUAACUGGUCUGAGAGGAUGAUCAGUCACACUGGAACUGAGACACGGUCCAGACUCCUACGGGAGGCAGCAGUGGGGAAUAUUGGACAAUGGGCGAAAGCCUGAUCCAGCCAUGCCGCGUGUGUGAAGAAGGUCUUCGGAUUGUAAAGCACUUUAAGUUGGGAGGAAGGGCAGUAAGUUAAUACCUUGCUGUUUUGACGUUACCAACAGAAUAAGCAACGGCUAACUUCGUG